GGCUGGUCCAAUGAUAAUGUAAUGGGUUAUCAGAACUUAUUAACAUUAGUGUCACUAAAGCUGGUUGGUAUACAACCCUCCACUGCUAAAUUUGACUGGCUUAAA
rnacentral:Y_RNA from 1 species